CUAUGAAACAGUUCUCCAUAUUUCACUUUUUUAUCACAGAAAUGUAUAAUCACUCCUGAGUUCCAAACUGCUAACUAUAUACUACUCUUUCAUUCUCAUAUUAUAAUAGCAACACACCCAUUCCACUGUUUUUAAGAAUUACCAUUUACCAAGAUUGGAGGCACUAUAGGUAAAAAUAGAAAUCUAGAAGGAGGAAAUCUACUUCAAGAUAUAAUAUAGGUGUAACAGCUAUAGAAAAUAUUUUCAUGUGGCAUUCUACUGUAGAUUAUCCAACUUUUUUUAAACAAUUGUCAUAAUUUUCAGGUAAAUGGCUAGAGGUUAAAAAUCUGAGGAUAUAUAUUAAUUAGUUGAACUCAUAUGACUUAUAGCUAUUUAAGGUGUGCAUUAUCCCUCUGCCUUCUCAGAGGCUAUUAUUGCUUUAAGGGCUGAAGCCUACACAAGGCAGCCAAGAAUGGGACAGAGACAGCAGGGGCCCACUCUAAAGCUGCUGAGUCCAUCUGUCAUAGCAAGGAUGUUAGCAUUUACUUUAAAAUCGAAUUUCCAUUCCAAAAUGUAAUUUCACCAACCACUAACUCUUGCAACAUUAUAUAUUUUUACCCAGAUGCUAUUUCUGGAGCUGUUAGUCAUGACUAGCUCUGCAUUAAAAUUUGACUGAAGCUGCAUGUAUGUAUUAAAUCAAUUUGUAUUCUCUUGGUCAAGAGCAAGCAUGAGCAAGCCUCUGAAGAGCUGCAUCUCUAACUGCAAGCAUCCCCACGUACUUAUAUAUAUAUGAGCAGGCACUGGCCCUCUCUUUUCUGACAUUCCCUGAAGUGUUCAAUAUUAACAAGCUGUUCAUUGAACUAGGAACAAAUUGGUUGGAAUCAUAUUUGCUAUGUUUUAUUAAAGCAUAGGCAAAAUUACAAUUUCAAAACUACAAGGGAUCUGAUUCCAAAUGUUAUUUUUGUAUAUGAUGAAUUUUAAAAAGUGUUAAAGGGUGAUCCAAAGUUGCCUAUCUAUUCAUUAGCAUGUCUUGCUUUAUGAAAUCCAGAGGUUUUUUCUAUUAUGAUAUAUGUUGCAUACUGAAUCUUAGGGUGCACAUACCUGGCCUAGACAUAAAGAUCUGCUGUUACGUUAUUUUCAAGUUGAGGUAGAGUUAAUGUAAAGUAAUAUGCAACAAUGUUCUUUUCAAUGAGAUUUACAAUUAUACCCACCAUCUUUGUACCUGCAGCAAAUAGAAAUGCUAUUGUCAAGGUAGUCUGUAUGAAAUGCUGAAUUUGGCAAAUUCCUCAAAAUACUUAUAAAAUGUGUUAUAAUAAAUAAUAUUUAUAUUUUUUUCUGGUAGUAAUAACUAAUUAAUGCUAAAUAUAUUUUUGAACUUCUACUAUGUGCCAGAAAAACAUUGGAAAAACAAAUCUGAAUGAACAGGCUAUUUUCUCAAACCUAUAAGUAAAGGUUGGAGAUAAAUCCACAUUUACAUUUUUUUUUUUAACUUGCUACGAAAACACUUAAAAGAACAACCUGAGGCAUUUUGGCUAACCAGAGAAGCUGAUGCUUCUAUCCAGUAUUGAAGAGUAGAUCACAUUUUGUUUGAUAAAGAUCUUAAAAGUCUCAUGUUUCUACAGGCUUCUAUGAAUUUUCUUCUCUUAAUUGGUUUAAGUGAUUAAUCAGUGAUUACUAGAUGGAUCAUUGAUUGGUGUGACCAAGAUUUAGGCAGAGGGUGUUAAAAGAGUGACUAGUAUGGAGGGUAAAAAUUUUAACAAGUCUAAAUCAUGAAGCACCUUGAAUACCAUUCUGAUUUGUUUGAUUUUCUAUUAGCUAUGUCAGGUCACCAAAAGAUAUUUUUAUGAAAAUAACAUGGUCCUUUUGAUUAUUUCAGAAGACCAUUUUGAAAAUAACAUAGAAACCCCAUUGAUAGGAGAUUAGAUUGAAUUUAGAAAGAAAGACCAUUGUGAAGUGUCUGAGAAAAAGAACUGUUGCUUAGAAUGUAGUCAUUAGCAACAAUUUACAAACAUUACUAAAAUAAUUGAUAUACAUAAGAAUAAGAAAUAUAACUGCAGAAAAUAUGGGAUCUCAGGCAAAAGAAGUAAAAUAGCUAUCCUAUGCUCAAAGAAAGAGAAUAUUUAUCUCUUCUCACAAAUGUUAAUUCACACUGAUUCACUCUCCUGGAAAUGAAGAAGAAUGGAUAGAAAAAGUACCGAUAAAUUGGCUGUAUUUUGUUUUACACACACACCAUAUUAUACACCUCUGUAGUUGCUUUCCUGUCAUCUCUCCUAAGGGGGUGAAUUCUUUAGUAAGAAUGUCUUCUUACUAAAAUUGGCCAUAAGUGUUUGUAAAAAAUAUAUUUUUGAUCCAGAAUAAAUUGAUUUCAGCAUCCAGUGGUAUCCUACACAUUAUAUAUACUUAAUAAAAUAUUUCAGUAACAGGUAUCACAUGACAAACAAAUAAAUGGUUACUACAAAGAUGUAUUCUGUGAGCUUUGUAUUUAUUCAUCCAGGUUUUCACUGUCUUCUAGUUUCAGUUAUCUCUUCAUAUUGCACUUGAUCUUAAAUCAGGAAGAGUGUUUUAUAUUUAAUAUUCUGAAAUAUCUGGUAAUAAUUAUAAGGCUCAUCUAAUUCACCUCACUUUUAGAGACAAAAAUGCUGGAAACAAUCUGUUUAAAUCUUUGAAAAAUAUCUCCAAUAAAUUAAUUUAAUUUUAAGAAUAAUUUUAAAUCUCACAAUCAUGAGAUUAGCGUUAUAAUGAUUUUGUCUUAUUUAUGACAUUAAUGUAUUUUAUUUGCAACAAUACUACAUGUGUAAAAGUUGAGCUGCCCAAUGCAGAUUAAUAAAUCAAAACUAAAAUAUAAUUGACUUUGCAUCCCCUAGUACAAACAGCACAGAACAGUUUCUGAUAGGUCUCCUCUGAUUGUGAAGACAGCACAUUCUACAGGAGAAAUACUCCUUUAGCUCCUACAUCAGCUGUCACAGAAGGCUAACAGCUUUGAAUGAAGCUCAGAGGAGGAAACUGCCCUAGGGCAGACUUGCUACUUGAGUCAUAUACACUGGCUGGCCCUAUUAUUUAGAACAUAUCAGCGGUGGAAAAAGUGGGAGGUUUCUGUCAAGCUUCACUGGACAAAUCACAAUACAGUCCCCUGAGAUUCUAGACGAAGACCACGCUGUCUACAGUAGAGAAUUAUGUGUGUUUAAUAAGCAGCAUUAGCUGUGCUACACGGAGCUGGUAUGGUUUAUUAUCAACAGGCAGAAGAGCCUGCCAGUGGAAUGAACUACAGGAGAAGUACUGAAGGUAAUUUCAAAGUAAUAGGCAGGGACAAUGAGUAACCUAGUUCACAAACACUAUUUUACUGUCUUCCCUUCUAUAGCAUUCCUAAUAUUGUUAAUAGUACUCACAGAAAGAAAACACUGAGACAGAGCUACACUGAAGCCAGGCAGAAAGGGUAAAGCUGCAUACAGUGGUAAAAGUGGUUGACAUCUCCAAAAGAUUUUUCAGUAAGAAGAAUAGAGGAUUAAACUCAUUCCAAAUUAUAUAUUUAAUCACAGAUUAAGUAUAAUAACAAAAUAAAAGAAAAUACAUAAAGAAAUAUAAUAUAUGUAAUUUCAAAAAAACUUAGUUCAUCAUAGUAACUUGCUGAUUUUCACAUUUAAUCUGAUUAUCAAUGCUUUGGAAAAAUUUAAUGUAUCAUGGGGAAUGACAAAGAGGUGCUUUUGAUUAUUUUAUUUAUUGCUCCAUAGAAAUUUAAUCUAUAUCAAAUAAAUUACCCAUUAUUAUGUAUUGAGAUGAUUAUUGGUCUUUAAUAUUAAUAAUACAUUUAUCAUAUACCUAGCACAUAUUUUCUGUAGCAGUGCAAUGAACUGAAAUUAAGUAGCUCUAAUAAGCCUUCAACAAUAUAGCAACAUUCCUAGAAUCCUACUAACUUCAACUCAUGAAUGGGUAGUAAAUUUUAUCAAAUUUCUUAUUGAAAGAUUACAUGGCAAUGUGAUUCAUUAUACUGUCUUAUUUUCCAGUGUACUACAACUUUUAAACAUGGGAGAAAAAAUGAAACCACUCAGGGAUUGUAAAAGAUUUUGAUGUUUAAAUAUUUUUAAUUUUUUUUGGUAAUGUCUGGGUAAGGGUGAUACUGGCUUUAUAAAAGACUUGGAAGAUUUCCUUUUUUUCAUUUCUCUUGAAAUAUUUGCAUAAAGUUGGUGUUACUUUCUCUUUAAAUGCUGGAAAUAAUUUGCCAGUGAAGCCAUCUGUACCCAGGGGUAUUUGUCAGAAAGUUCUAAAACAUACUUAAUAUCAUUAGUAGAAAAGGAAAUAUUUACAUUUGAAAAUUUAUUCUUGUAGGUUUUUUUGGCAAAUUAUGUCUUUUGAGGAAUUUGCCAGUUUUAUAUAUCACAUAUAUCAGAAUGAAGUUGUGCCUUCUAAUUAUGGUUCAAUGCAUUGAAAUAUAGGAAAUGCAAUAAUUUUCCAUUUUCAUAUUUUUUAAUUGCCAAUUUAUAUUGUUAUGUUUUGUUUUCUGCCUCCUUGAUCAUGCUGCUAGAAAGGGGUCAACUUUAGGCUUUUUAUUCCCUAUUAUAGUUGGUUUUCUACCUGGUUGAUUGUUAAUCUUAAUUAUUUCCUUUCUUUUAAUUAUUUAUAUUAAAUUUGCUGUUUUAACUUCUUGUAAAUUGAGAUAGAAGCUAUGGGAAUUAUUUUAUUUUAAAUUUGCUUUUUUUUAAUUGUAUUUGCAAUGACAUAAUUGUACAUAUUUAUGGAGUACAGUGUGAUGUUUCAAUGCAUGUAUACAUUCUAUAAUGAUCAAAUAAAGGCAAUUAGCAGAUUCAUCGUUUUAAAUAUUUAUCAUUUCUUUGUGGCGAUAACAUUUUAAGUCAUCUCUUCAAGCUAUCUUGAAAUAUACACUAUGUUAUCUGCUAUAGUCACCCUAGUUUGUAAGAGAGCACCAAACUUAUGUUUUCUAACCGCAAUUUUGUGCCCAUUGACUAGCUUCUCCCAGUAUCACAUCUCCACUACCCUCCCCAGACUCUGAU
rnacentral:lncRNA from 10 species